rnacentral:ncRNA from 1 species
UGAUAAGCCAAUGGUGCGAAGCUACCAUCUGAGGGAUUAUGCCUGAACGCCUCUAAGUCAGAAUCCCGCCUGGAAAGCGACGAUGCAUUCGUGCCUCGGCCUCGAGAGGCGUAGCUAGACGGCCGCGUGGCCGUGGAAAGAGCCCGAUUCCGACCCGAGAGGCCGCGGCAAGAGGCGGCCUCGAAGUCGGUGGAUCCUCCUGCUCGAAAGGCGGGGUGCUAAACCAUUCGCAGACGACCUAGUUGAAGAUCGGGGUGUCGUGAUCACUAGAGCAGUACAUCUCACUGCGAUUUGUUGAGAGUAAGCCUCAAGAUCUGUCGGUUUGU